GACGAACGCUGGCGGCGUGCCUAAUACAUGCAAGUAGAACGCUGAAGAGAGGAGCUUGCUCUUCUUGGAUGAGUUGCGAACGGGUGAGUAACGCGUAGGUAACCUGCCUUGUAGCGGGGGAUAACUAUUGGAAACGAUAGCUAAUACCGCAUAACAAUGGAUGACACAUGUCAUUUAUUUGAAAGGGGCAAUUGCUCCACUACAAGAUGGACCUGCGUUGUAUUAGCUAGUAGGUGAGGUAAUGGCUCACCUAGGCGACGAUACAUAGCCGACCUGAGAGGGUGAUCGGCCACACUGGGACUGAGACACGGCCCAGACUCCUACGGGAGGCAGCAGUAGGGAAUCUUCGGCAAUGGGGGCAACCCUGACCGAGCAACGCCGCGUGAGUGAAGGAGGUUUUCGGAUCGUAAAGCUCUGUUGUAAGUCAAGAACGGGUGUGAGAGUGGAAAGUUCACACUGUGACGGUAGCUUACCAGAAAGGGACGGCUAACUACGUGCCAGCAGCCGCGGUAAUACGUAGGUCCCGAGCGUUGUCCGGAUUUAUUGGGCGUAAAGCGAGCGCAGGCGGUUUGAUAAGUCUGAAGUUAAAGGCUGUGGCUCAACCAUAGUUCGCUUUGGAAACUGUCAAACUUGAGUGCAGAAGGGGAGAGUGGAAUUCCAUGUGUAGCGGUGAAAUGCGUAGAUAUAUGGAGGAACACCGGUGGCGAAAGCUGCUCUCUGGUCUGUAACUGACGCUGAGGCUCGAAAGCGUGGGGAGCGAACAGGAUUAGAUACCCUGGUAGUCCACGCCGUAAACGAUGAGUGCUAGGUGUUGGAUCCUUUCCGGGAUUCAGUGCCGCAGCUAACGCAUUAAGCACUCCGCCUGGGGAGUACGACCGCAAGGUUGAAACUCAAAGGAAUUGACGGGGGCCCGCACAAGCGGUGGAGCAUGUGGUUUAAUUCGAAGCAACGCGAAGAGCCUUACCAGGUCUUGACAUCCCGAUGCUAUUUCUAGAGAUAGAAAGUUACUUCGGUACAUCGGUGACAGGUGGUGCAUGGUUGUCGUCAGCUCGUGUCGUGAGAUGUUGGGUUAAGUCCCGCAACGAGCGCAACCCCUAUUGUUAGUUGCCAUCAUUCAGUUGGGCACUCUAGCGAGACUGCCGGUAAUAAACCGGAGGAAGGUGGGGAUGACGUCAAAUCAUCAUGCCCCUUAUGACCUGGGCUACACACGUGCUACAAUGGUUGGUACAACGAGUUGCGAGUCGGUGACGGCGAGCUAAUCUCUUAAAGCCAAUCUCAGUUCGGAUUGUAGGCUGCAACUCGCCUACAUGAAGUCGGAAUCGCUAGUAAUCGCGGAUCAGCACGCCGCGGUGAAUACGUUCCCGGGCCU
rnacentral:rRNA from 1 species